rnacentral:rRNA from 1 species
GACGAACGCUGGCGGCGUGCUUAACACAUGCAAGUCGAACGAAGUGGCGAACGGGUGAGUAACGCGUAAUCAACCUGCCAUUCAGAGGGGGACAACAGUUGGAAACGACUGCUAAUACCGCAUACGGAAGGAGGGGAAUGCGUCCGAUUAGCUAGUAGGGGGGUGAACGGCACACAAAGGCGAUGAUCAGUGGCCGGUCCGAGAGGAGGAACGGCCAAAUGUGGACUUAGACACGGCCCAGACUCCUAAGGUGGGCAGCAGGGGGGAAGUGUCCGCAAUGGACGGAAGUCUGACGGAGCAACGCCGCGUUGGUGAUGACGGCGUUCGGGUUGUAAAGCUCUGUUAGUCGGGACGCGGUAUCGAAAUAGAAAGCCACGGCUAACUACGUGCCAGCAGCCGCGGUAAUAC